AUUCAUGCUUUACCUCCGUCCACGUCAGCUUCUGCUCCACACUCUCCUCACAGGAUCUGUGUGGCUGUGAUUAAAGCUGAGUGGGAUCAAUAUAGGAUGAGCCCCGGGGGUCAGGGAAAUAUUCCAGUUUUUUUUUUCGGCUCUCCUCGUGAACCUUUCUGUCAAAGCCUCCACUGAACACCGGCCACAGUUCAGUCUGAAGUGUAAACACGAACACAGAGUUACUCACAGAAGGAAUGUCAGAGGUUAUUCAUCCUUCAGUUGAGGAUAAAUGACCAGGAGCGUAUGAACAGUGUCAACAUCCCAACCAGGAAUUCGCUGGGAUGACCUUCACCACCUGGUUCUUCCUCAGGUCAAACUGGAAAACUGAAAAAAAAAAGUGCUGUUUUGGAAACGACGGCACGUUCAGUGUGGUGAGGACGGAGGCGGCGUUGACUCUCGUCGGAACUCCAGGCCAGUCGGUGUGGAUGGGUCUGGGGUAGCCGGGGUCCAUUCGUCUCCUCUUUUCAUCGUACCUGAAAAAAAAUCAACAACUUCACAAGAAAUAUGUACACAAUCCCCUGAUUAUUAAAAAAGAUUAAUAAAAUGAGCUGCAAUGCUGCCAUCUAGUGACUUUCACUUUCAUGUACAGCAGUUUAUCCCCCAAAACUAAUAUUUAGGAACACGUCCUUUGACGAAAAACAGGCGUUGUGUUAUCAGGUUUUCAUUAUCGGAGGGAAAACCGA